UGUGCCGUUGCAAAACUGAGCCACGCCCGUAGGGAGCUGUGCAUCAUAGUCCUUCGCCACUCAGGAGGCUUGUCAGGCUGGCAGCAGCUUCCAGCCUCUUCACCUGUUACAUGGGGAUUAUAAUAAUACCAAAUUCCCUGGCUUGUCAGGAGGAGUAAAUAAAAUCAGAUAAGGGCCACAGACGAGGAAACUAUCUUUUGCUGAGCACCCACAUCGUGUCAGACACUUGGCAACAUUUUCCAUCUAAUUCUCACGUUGACUUUGUCAGGAUGAUGUCAUAGAAGACUGGAUCCAGGCGCCUCUUCCUUUGGGUCCCGUGACCACUCAGCGGAGGGAGAAGCUAACACUGUGAUGAGACGUGACUCGCCAGAGAGACAGGGGGGCUUUCUGCAUCUGAAUGUUCUUAGCCAUCGGACACAUUUAGCAACUGUUAAUAGUGAUUAUCUUUUGAGAGAGGGACUAGGAAGGAAAGGAUGCUUGUACUCUUCAUCAUACAACGUUGUACACUGCUAAAUAUUCGAAGUAAGUGCAUGUUAUUAUUUGUCCUUUUAAAAAUAUGGUCAAUUGGGAUUAUUUGAGUGGUGGAAUUAUGAGCCAAUGUUUUUUCUCUCUCUGUAUCUCUGCAUUUAAAAAAAGUUGUAGUCUUUUUUUGUUUUUUGAACAUUCUUAAAAUACCAACAAGUUGUACCCUAGCAGCUCUGCUCUCAAGUUUCUAAAGCUUGUUAGGUGAUGGGGCUACUAGAAGCCAGAUGCUUACUAGAGAAUGCUGUUAAAUGUUUGCAUUCAUCAGCU
rnacentral:lncRNA from 1 species